rnacentral:rRNA from 1 species
GGGUUGUGAGGUUAAGCGACUAAGCGUACACGGUGGAUGCCCUGGCAGUCAGAGGCGAUGAAGGACGUGCUAAUCUGCGAUAAGCGUCGGUAAGGUGAUAUGAACCGUUAUAACCGGCGAUUUCCGAAUGGGGAAACCCAGUGUGAUUCGUCACACUAUCAUUAACUGAAUCCAUAGGUUAAUGAGGCGAACCGGGGGAACUGAAACAUCUAAGUACCCCGAGGAAAAGAAAUCAACCGAGAUUCCCCCAGUAGCGGCGAGCGAACGGGGAGCAGCCCAGAGCCUGAAUCAGUGUGUGUGUUAGUGGAAGCGUCUGGAAAGGCGCGCGAUACAGGGUGACAGCCCCGUACACAAAAAUGCACAUGCUGUGAGCUCGAUGAGUAGGGCGGGACACGUGGUAUCCUGUCUGAAUAUGGGGGGACCAUCCUCCAAGGCUAAAUACUCCUGACUGACCGAUAGUGAACCAGUACCGUGAGGGAAAGGCGAAAAGAACCCCGGCGAGGGGAGUGAAAAAGAACCUGAAACCGUGUACGUACAAGCAGUGGGAGCACGCUUAGGCGUGUGACUGCGUACCUUUUGUAUAAUGGGUCAGCGACUUAUAUUCUGUAGCAAGGUUAACCGAAUAGGGGAGCCGAAGGGAAACCGAGUCUUAACUGGGCGUUAAGUUGCAGGGUAUAGACCCGAAACCCGGUGAUCUAGCCAUGGGCAGGUUGAAGGUUGGGUAACACUAACUGGAGGACCGAACCGACUAAUGUUGAAAAAUUAGCGGAUGACUUGUGGCUGGGGGUGAAAGGCCAAUCAAACCGGGAGAUAGCUGGUUCUCCCCGAAAGCUAUUUAGGUAGCGCCUCGUGAAUUCAUCUCCGGGGGUAGAGCACUGUUUCGGCAAGGGGGUCAUCCCGACUUACCAACCCGAUGCAAACUACGAAUACCGGAGAAUGUUAUCACGGGAGACACACGGCGGGUGCUAACGUCCGUCGUGAAGAGGGAAACAACCCAGACCGCCAGCUAAGGUCCCAAAGUCAUGGUUAAGUGGGAAACGAUGUGGGAAGGCCCAGACAGCCAGGAUGUUGGCUUAGAAGCAGCCAUCAUUUAAAGAAAGCGUAAUAGCUCACUGGUCGAGUCGGCCUGCGCGGAAGAUGUAACGGGGCUAAACCAUGCACCGAAGCUGCGGCAGCGACGCUGAUGCGUUGUUGGGUAGGGGAGCGUUCUGUAAGCCUGCGAAGGUGUGCUGUGAGGCAUGCUGGAGGUAUCAGAAGUGCGAAUGCUGACAUAAGUAACGAUAAAGCGGGUGAAAAGCCCGCUCGCCGGAAGACCAAGGGUUCCUGUCCAACGUUAAUCGGGGCAGGGUGAGUCGACCCCUAAGGCGAGGCCGAAAGGCGUAGUCGAUGGGAAACAGGUUAAUAUUCCUGUACUUGGUGUUACUGCGAAGGGGGGACGGAGAAGGCUAUGUUGGCCGGGCGACGGUUGUCCCGGUUUAAGCGUGUAGGCUGGUUUUCCAGGCAAAUCCGGAAAAUCAAGGCUGAGGCGUGAUGACGAGGCACUACGGUGCUGAAGCAACAAAUGCCCUGCUUCCAGGAAAAGCCUCUAAGCAUCAGGUAACAUCAAAUCGUACCCCAAACCGACACAGGUGGUCAGGUAGAGAAUACCAAGGCGCUUGAGAGAACUCGGGUGAAGGAACUAGGCAAAAUGGUGCCGUAACUUCGGGAGAAGGCACGCUGAUAUGUAGGUGAAGUCCCUCGCGGAUGGAGCUGAAAUCAGUCGAAGAUACCAGCUGGCUGCAACUGUUUAUUAAAAACACAGCACUGUGCAAACACGAAAGUGGACGUAUACGGUGUGACGCCUGCCCGGUGCCGGAAGGUUAAUUGAUGGGGUUAGCGCAAGCGAAGCUCUUGAUCGAAGCCCCGGUAAACGGCGGCCGUAACUAUAACGGUCCUAAGGUAGCGAAAUUCCUUGUCGGGUAAGUUCCGACCUGCACGAAUGGCGUAAUGAUGGCCAGGCUGUCUCCACCCGAGACUCAGUGAAAUUGAACUCGCUGUGAAGAUGCAGUGUACCCGCGGCAAGACGGAAAGACCCCGUGAACCUUUACUAUAGCUUGACACUGAACAUUGAGCCUUGAUGUGUAGGAUAGGUGGGAGGCUUUGAAGUGUGGACGCCAGUCUGCAUGGAGCCGACCUUGAAAUACCACCCUUUAAUGUUUGAUGUUCUAACGUGGACCCGUAAUCCGGGUUGCGGACAGUGUCUGGUGGGUAGUUUGACUGGGGCGGUCUCCUCCUAAAGAGUAACGGAGGAGCACGAAGGUUGGCUAAUCCUGGUCGGACAUCAGGAGGUUAGUGCAAUGGCAUAAGCCAGCUUGACUGCGAGCGUGACGGCGCGAGCAGGUGCGAAAGCAGGUCAUAGUGAUCCGGUGGUUCUGAAUGGAAGGGCCAUCGCUCAACGGAUAAAAGGUACUCCGGGGAUAACAGGCUGAUACCGCCCAAGAGUUCAUAUCGACGGCGGUGUUUGGCACCUCGAUGUCGGCUCAUCACAUCCUGGGGCUGAAGUAGGUCCCAAGGGUAUGGCUGUUCGCCAUUUAAAGUGGUACGCGAGCUGGGUUUAGAACGUCGUGAGACAGUUCGGUCCCUAUCUGCCGUGGGCGCUGGAGAACUGAGGGGGGCUGCUCCUAGUACGAGAGGACCGGAGUGGACGCAUCACUGGUGUUCGGGUUGUCAUGCCAAUGGCACUGCCCGGUAGCUAAAUGCGGAAGAGAUAAGUGCUGAAAGCAUCUAAGCACGAAACUUGCCCCGAGAUGAGUUCUCCCUGACCCUUUAAGGGUCCUGAAGGAACGUUGAAGACGACGACGUUGAUAGGCCGGGUGUGUAAGCGCAGCGAUGCGUUGAGCUAACCGGUACUAAUGAACCGUGAGGCUUAACCUUACAACGCCGAAGCUGUU